rnacentral:rRNA from 1 species
CCUACGGGAAGGCAGCAGUGGGGAAUAUUGCACAAUGGGCGCAAGCCUGAUGCAGCCAUGCCGCGUGUAUGAAGAAGGCCUUCGGGUUGUAAAGUACUUUCAGCAGUGAGGAAGGUGGGUAUGUUAAUAGCAUAUUCAUUUGACGUUAGCUGCAGAAGAAGCACCGGCUAACUCCGUGCCAGCAGCCGCGGUAAUACGGAGGGUGCGAGCGUUAAUCGGAAUUACUGGGCGUAAAGCGCAUGCAGGUGGUUUGUUAAGUCAGAUGUGAAAGCCCGGGGCUCAACCUCGGAAUUGCAUUUGAAACUGGCAAACUAGAGUACUGUAGAGGGGGUAGAAUUUCAGGUGUAGCGGUGAAAUGCGUAGAGAUCUGAAGGAAUACCGGUGGCGAAGGCGGCCCCCUGGACAGAUACUGACACUCAGAUGCGAAAGCGUGGGGAGCAAACAGGAUUAGAUACCCUGGUAG